GACGAACGCUGGCGGCGUGCCUAAUACAUGCAAGUUGAGCGCUGAAGGCUGGUACUUGUACCAACUGGAUGAGCAGCGAACGGGUGAGUAACGCGUGGGGAAUCUGCCUUUGAGCGGGGGACAACAUUUGGAAACGAAUGCUAAUACCGCAUAAAAACUUUAAACACAAGUUUUAAGUUUGAAAGAUGCAAUUGCAUCACUCAAAGAUGAUCCCGCGUUGUAUUAGCUAGUUGGUGAGGUAAAGGCUCACCAAGGCGAUGAUACAUAGCCGACCUGAGAGGGUGAGCGGCCACAGUGGGACUGGGACACGGCCCAAACUCCUACGGGAGGCAGCAGUAGGGAAUCUUCGGCAAUGGACGAAAGUCUGACCGAGCAACGCCGCGUGAGUGAAGAAGGUUUUCGGAUCGUAAAACUCUGUUGGUAGAGAAGAACGUUGGUGAGAGUGGAAAGCUCAUCAAGUGACGGUAACUACCCAGAAAGGGACGGCUAACUACGU
rnacentral:rRNA from 1 species